rnacentral:rRNA from 1 species
AACGAACGCUGGCGGCAGGCCUAACACAUGCAAGUCGAACGCCCCGCAAGGGGAGUGGCAGACGGGUGAGUAGCGCGUGGGAACCUUCACAAAGGUGCGGAAUAGCUCAGGGAAACUUGGGGUAAUACCGCAUAAUGCCGAAAGGCAAAAGAUUUAUCGCCUUUGGAUGGGCCCGCGUCGGAUUAGCUAGUUGGGGAGGUAAUGGCUCACCAAGGCGACGAUCCGUAGCUGGCUUGAGGGAAUGACCUGACACACUGGGACUGAGACACUGCCCAGACUCCUACGGGAGGCAGCGGUGGUGAAUCUGGGACAAUGGGAGCAAGCCUGAUCCAGCCAUGCCGCGUGAGUGACGAAGGCCUUAGGGUUGUAAAGCUCUUUGGCCGGGGACGAUAAUGACGUUACCCGGAGAAUAAGUCCCGGCUAACUUCGUGCCAGCAGCCGCCGUAA